rnacentral:lncRNA from 1 species
GCCACCGUCCUCCAUGGACGAGGACGACCACCAUGCACCGCAGAUGGUCGAGCUCGCCGUCGUCUUCUCCGAUGCGGUGCUGGGCCAACGACCUCCAACUCCACGGCUCAUAGCUUGGGUAAGCACUUCCUGUCGGAGGGGUGCAUCAUGCCCAAGCAGGAAGCGCUGCAGGCGUACCAAUUGUCUCUGCGGCAACACCUAACGAUGACGCCAUCGCUUACUGAAUAUUGUGCAGGCUGCUAAACACAGUAGCACUAUGGUGGGGAUUAAUAGCCGGCGCUGUACAGGGAGGCGCUUGAUGUCAGGUCCCAGUCUCUGAAACUCUGAAGAAUUGAUACCUUCAGGUAACUGUCUCACUGAAAGUUCUUAGUAAAGCAUUAUUGAUAGCAGUGAGUAAAUCAGACAACUAUAGCAAUAUGGUUUAUGAGUAGUUCGUACACUAUAUUUAGUUGGAGUUCCUUGAUGUGCGAGAUGCAAAGAUUUUAGAACAGUUUGAAAAAUUACUGCAGUAAAAAAAUCAGGUAGCUCUAUUUGUUUUCGUUGGGAGGAGCAAGUUCACUGCAUUCACAUACUGGAGAGUAAAAUAAUAAAAAGCUUCCUUGAGUGAUGACUGAUCACAAGAUUUUAGUGCAAAAAAAAAGACAAAACUAGCUUCACAACGAACAGCAGGUUUGCUAACCAUUUGAUUUAUUUUGUGCAUUGCAGGCUUGCUACUUAAUUCUCAAAAAAAAUCGUGCGUUCACAUCACCAUCCUGUGGAACCACGAGGCCUGAUCCAGUGAUUUCAGAGAACAUUUACUAUGUUUAUGGAUCACUACAUGUUCUGCUGGAACAAGGUAAGAUCAUUUUUCAGUAACCAUUUCAUUUGAACACACAUCAUGCUUUGCCAUAUAUAACUGAACAUCUGAA